rnacentral:lncRNA from 1 species
UUUUUUAAAUUUUUAUUUAUUUAUGAUAGUCACACAGAGAGAGAGAGAGGCAGAGACACAGGCAGAGAGAGAAGCAGGCUCCAUGCACCGGGAGCCUGACGUGGGAUUCGAUCCCGGAUCUCCAGGAUCACGCCCUGGGCCAAAGGCAGGCGCCAAACCGCUGCGCCACCCAGGGAUCCCUGCAAGUGAGUUUAGAAUGGGAUGGCCACUGCAGGUUACCUGCCUUGAGGUCUGACAGGAUGAAGAAGAAAUGAUACACUGUGAUCUCAACACUAACAAGAGGCAGGGAUAAUAACUUCUUCACCUUGUCGGGAGCCAAGAAUGAAUAAAAUGGUCCUAGACAGCAGCCAAUAGAAUUUUGUCAAAAAGAAUCUCAAAAGGAAUUUGACUUGAUGUAAAAAAACAAACAAACAAAAGAUUAAAAUUUUGCAGUAAUAAAAGCCCCCUGAGGCUCAGGGAAAAAAAACAAACAUCCUGUUCUAGAAAAUAGUGUUCAGUGCUGUUAAUUCUUUUCCCAGAGGAAGCACGUGCACCGGGCCUCACAAAACCACCAUGUGGCUUUCACUGGGGACAAUGGCUCCCUUCCCUCACUGGGGACACUUCACUUCCCCCGUAGCUUUCUGAAACUAAGAACCCUGUGUUCCUUACAUGGAAUGUCCUCCCACCUUCUUACCAUCAACCCCUACUCAUAACAUCCCCCAAGGUCCGCUUUUAGUCACUUCCUUCCCAGAGAAAUUCUCUAACUCCCCUCACGCAAUCCAGGCUCAGUACUGCACUGGCCAAGGUUUUCUUAGGACUCCUAUGUUAUUAUUUUUUUGUUUUCUGGUUUUGUGAUUUUAUGUCUGUUAUCUCCAAGUAGGUGCUAAGCUCAGUAAGAAUAAUAUAGACAAAGGUACUAUGAGUAAAAGCUACUGUUGAUAAAAAUCUCUUCUUUACGACAGAUCCCCUACAGAGCCUCCUCCUGGCCUAUGAAUACCAGAAGGCCUCAUAUUUUAUUGAAUAAAAGCCCUUUGAGUACUCCCUCCAUCCAUCCGCUAGACCCCAGGUCUGCAAAUUAUAGUCAACGUGCCAAAUCCAGACCUUGGCCUGUUUGUGUAAAUAAAGUUUUAUUAGAACACAUGCAUGCCGAUUCAUUUAUACAUUGUCUAUAGUUCAGUAGUUCUCAACUGAGGGUGCUAUAACAUCCCCCACCCAGGUGUCAUUUGGCAAUGUACAGAGAUAUUUUUGAUUCUCAUGACUGGGGGGUGCUGGUGCUAUUGACAUAUAAUGGGUGGGGCUAGCGGUGAUGCUAAACAUUCUACAAUGCACAGGACAGCCCUCCAAACAAACAAUUGUAUGGCUUUAAUUCUCAGUAGUGCUGGGGUUGGGAAACCCUAGCAGAGAUGCUUUCAAAUGACAAGGUCAGAGUUGAGUAGUUAUGACAGACUAUGUGACCUUCUAGGUCUAAAAUAUGAACUUACCCCUCAGCGAAAGUCUGAGCCCCUACCUUAGAUAUGGCAUUUCCACAGGGUUGGAUGGUUGUUGUCGAUCCCCCCAACCCUCAACAAUUCCCCCUGUAAUCACAACCAUGCACGUGGCUUCAACUUUCCCCUCUAACAAUAACUUCCACAUCAGUGUCUUUAGCCCACAUAACUUAACUCUCAAGUUAACUACUCAAGGUAGCUCUGUAGACCAGGGCCAGCCGAUGACAAGAUUUUAAAGAAAUCAAAAGUGAGCUACUGGAAACCUUUGACAAUGCUGUAACAAUCAACACGGCCAGUGGAUUUUUCUCCUUGGAUAGGCUCCCGACAAGUUUGGGAGCUGUGUAGCAUUUGGCUCACAGGGGAGCUGGUUGUGUGCCCAAGGGCUUACUGUGCACACUAGUAUCAGUAGACAGUGGACUGGAAAUUAGAAAAUACAUACUAAAAAAAACCCUGCUCCUUCACAAAUAGCAUCAGGCUUUUCUCCCCUAGUUUUUUAGACUUCACCUGGCUCCCCCCAGGCACUUCCUGUUCAACCCAGCCCACAGGCUGUACCAUCUUUCCUCCUGCCUACCCUGGUAUAGGCCUCCUGUACUGUCCUCUCAGUAAAGGGCAGGAAGUCACCCAACUCCAAAACCCGGUUGUCACCCCUACUUCUUCCCCUGCCGUGUUCUUCACAUCAAGGCCCACUGAUAUCUCCCAUCGCCAAUCCCACUGUCUCAGCCUUUUCUAGCCCUCGAGAUCACUCUCCAGCAUAAGGGUAUUGGCCUCCCCAUCUGUCUCCUGCCUCCAACCUUGUCUCCUAGAGUUAGCCAGCUACUGUGCCCAAGUGACCUAAUCACUCUCAGUCUUCAACCCAGGCCCACCCAACAGCCUGGUUAUAAAAUGACUCCUGUGAGGCUGGGUUUUGCAGUCUGGGUCCUGCCCACCCCUGCAGCUCAUAUUUCCCACUAGCUCCCCAUGGCCUCUCUUAUACCUUGCUUAUACCUCAAACCCACCAAAUGUCACAUUAUACUGUAAUCACUACUGAGUCUCCUACGAGGCUGCCUUCUUUGGGAGAGAGACAACUAGAUUUAAUUCAGAGUUGGCACUGAACAAAUGUUUGUUGAAUGAACAAAUAGGAGAGUUUGAAAGAGACUGCCUUGCACUUCCUUCCCUGCCCAGCCUGCUGAAAAUGCAUGAUGGAGUCUUUCUAUGAGUCCUACGGGAAAAUAAAUAAAUAAAAUCAUUAAACAAUGGAGCAGUGGCCUCUUGUGCAAAGGCUUUCUUUCCUUGUUUCCACCUGUAAGACAUUUUAACCUUUCUCUAUCCAUGUAGGCUAAGAAUCUCACAGCCUAUCACUGCAAGCCCCAGUAAUUCUGCAGGCUUUUAGAGAUCUUUGGGAUUAAGGCAAAGAAUAUUUGUUAUCAUGCUGUUUGAGAGGGAAAGGGCUUCUAUCCUUGACUGCAAUGUGCAAAUAGCGUCUCAGAGAAACGGGCAAGACUCAAGAAUAAAUUGACAAUAUGUUUCCCUGAAUGCAGACUCGCUAGUUAUAUGGAGGCCCUGGAGAAACUAUGAGCUCGCUCUCCUGACCUUUCUUUUCAAAAGGAAAUGGGUUAAGGGGGAAAAUUUGGAUCAUUUGGCCCAAGAGGUACAAAGAAACCUGACAAAAGUAUGAUGGACAUUCUACAGGAAAGGAUUGCUUUAAGUAUUAACUGGGACUAGCACAGAGAGCACAUAAGAAAAAUACUUAUUGAAUGAAUGAAUAUCCUGGCAAACAAAACAGCAGACAGGGCUCUCUCACUGUGGUUCUAGCCUGAGGGGAGAAGACAGCUGGCCUAAAACUUGCUGCCAAGCUUGCAUGAUCCUUCUAGAACUCCAGACACACAUGGGUGCCAGCUAUCUGCUCUGGAAAUUGAGACAAUUACUCCAAGCCUGCUUCUCUUACAGGUGCCUACCAGAGCUGAGUGCUGCACAACACAAACCAUCAUCUUCAUACCAAAUGAAAAGCCAGAGCAUCCCCUGAAAUUCAAAUGAAGUAGGCGAAGCAUGCUAUUGACAAAAAACCAACUUUCAUUUUCUCCUUAAAUGCUAUCCGCAGCAGUCAGCAAUAAAAUGGUUUGUGUGUCCACCCUGUGAACCAUCUCCACCACUGGAAGGGGUCCCCACCACCAGCCUGCUCCGAGGAUCAUUUCUUCCUCUGAUGUGGGGCUGGCCUCUCCUAUAAGCGUACAAGCAAGCGUCCUUUCCUCUCCAGAGGCAACUCUCUCUGUCUUGAGAACAAGUGGGGACUUCCUGGAGUUGGGAAAAUGGAUCAAGCGUUACUGAUCAGAUAAAGAAAACUGCUCAGGGCCUCUAGCUAUUUUCUUUAAAUGUCUAGUAAACUGUCAGGUGAGAGGGAAUCUGGAGGGUCCCAAGGAAAGAACAAGGCAUGUGAUGCAAGUUCAUAGCGAGGCCAGGUGGGGCUGUGUCUGAGGAAGGAGUCUAAAACAACUCGAGUUAAUCAGCUUGAAGAAAGGGAGAGGCUUUCCCCGCUGAGUCUGAGAUCUGAGUCAGGAUUCCAGGGGUGGGGGGCGGGGGGGGGGACGCAUUCCUGCCCGGGGAAGUUAGGGUAGCUGGCCCGGAGGCCACACUCCUAACUUAAAGGAGCCGUCCCUGGCCAGGGUGUGCCAGCUACGCUGACAUACAGGCUGACAUACAGGCUGAGACAAUCAGAGACUUGUGUGUGAGAUUUAUCUGUCCUCAGUAUUACAGAUGAGGUACUUUACGACAGGGGUUCUUCACGGCGUAGGGCCAACUUCUACCCCUCCUUUCCUCCUCUUUCACAAAAAAAAAAGAAAGAAAGAAAGAAAGAAAGAAAGAAAGAAAGAAAGAAAGAAAGAAAGAAAGAAAGAAAGAUCUAAAAUCUGUUAAUAUACCAGGUUUAUAUUUUCUUUCUUUGCUUUGGGUAGAAAAAAGAAGUUUGAGGGAGACUGGGCCAAGAAGGAGGACUCGUGUUUUCUGUCAUUCAACUCUUGGGGCCUGAGUUUCAUCUUGUCAGAACGAGAGGGUGGCCUGAAACAAGGACCCCUUCCAUCUAUGAGAUGUUGUUAGGGUCUGUGAUUCUAUGUCUGCAGAAACAUCUGGUGUCCAGGGAAUUUUAAGGAAAAAAAAAUACUUUUUAAGAAAGUUCACUAAGACUGCCCUUAGAGUCAAAAUACUGGUUACCAGCUUAUAAAAUGUUCAUCAUCUAUUCCCAUCCUUCUCGGUACCAAAUUAAGGGUGCAAAGCAAUGCCAGUAAUUUUCUCUGGGAGCCUCAGCGUACUUAUCCACACAGUGGGGACAGUAGUAAUGUCUUCUCGGGAGGAGAAAACACACGUACCGCUUGACAAAGUUCCUUUAGGCUGUGAGCUGGCAAAUCAGCAACUAUUACUAAUUAUUCCAAGAAACUAGAGCAAGACAGGCUGCAGGUUCACUGUUGGGAUGUUUCUCCAAUCUUAUUUCCUUGGGAUCUGGUCAUGUACGUAACCUGAUUGUUUAAGUAGUGUGAAAGCCCCCCAGAUGUGUUGGUUCCAAGCAUAAUUCCUCAUUCUGAGAAAAAACUGGACUUGGAAAGAAGUCCCGGACCAUUUCCCUCCCCACGCUGCCCCAGGGACUUGCCAGGCAGCAUCCACCUGGCUGGCAAGGGAAGCCCCACCUGCCCCCUCAGGGCAGGCCACGGCCAGAGGUUUCCCCACCAGGAAGACAGAACAAAAUCCACCCGUGAACAGAAACUUCAUACUAAACUUACAGGAAGCCAAAAAAAUCAACAUUACUGUGGAAGACACUGCACUCUGAAGCCAUCUGAGGGCAAGAAAACACUUUGCAAUUUGGUGCUAUGACACGCACACACUGGCACAGGUGGCUCGAGCUGACGGACGCAGUGAGAAGUGGGCUUCGGAGAGAGAGGCUGCCUUUGUCCAGCCCCUGGUUGGGAUCAGAGGCUCCCACACAAGGACCUUACUCGCCUCAGUCCUGGGCUGACACAGGGCACGAGCAGCCACCAUGGCACCUGGGCGCGAGAGAGCUCUGGCACAGGUGGAGCUCCCCCGCCAAGAAGACUCACAGGAAGAUCUGGUGCCAGCCUGCUUCUCAGAGCACCUUGCAUCAUCCUCACCACCAGACCGAAGGACCCGAGGUGCCUCCCUGGGGAUGUGAACAGUCUGUAGCCUGGGAAAGGGUAACUUGACUAGAGCAGGAUUUGAAUGUGCUGCUAAGUGAAAAUGACUUCUGGCCUGACAACACGAAGAGAAGACCAUGCCAUAGGCAGAAUCAUGUCACAGGCUAGGACGAGACUGUCUACUUUUCCGUUAGGUCUGCUGGAAGAAGAUGAAAGCUGAUAUAAAAAAAAUAAUAAUAAAAAAAUAAAAUAAAAUAAAAUAAAGUAAAGUAAAGUAAAGUAAAAGAAAAGAAAAGAAAAGAAAGCUGAUAUAAACUAAGCUCAGUCCCUACUUUCAAGGAGCCGGCAAUAAAUGAUCUUUUACAUGCAGUUAAGUAUUAGAAUUCAAAAUAUAAGACACUGUGGAAAUGCCUCUGCUACAAGGGGAGAAGGAGUAAGAGACUGACAGCAGUCCAGAGCUAGAGAAGAAUCUGGAAAAAGUCCAUCUGCUUCCUCUGCACCCACAUCCCUCCCCUUCCCCUGCUUCACAGAUGAAGGGGCACAGCCAACCCAGAGAAGGGUCGGGGUGUGCCUUGUGACACAGCCGCUCAGUCAAGGGCUUAGAGCCUUGUCUCCUGCUGUGUUAA